UGAGGAAUAUUGGACAAUGGGCGCAAGCCUGAUCCAGCCAUGCCGCGUGUGUGAAGAAGGUCUUCGGAUUGUAAAGCACUUUAAGUUGGGAGGAAGGGCAGUUACCUAAUACGUGAUUGUUUUGACGUUACCGACAGAAUAAGCACCGGCUAACUCUGUGCCAGCAGCCGCGGUAAUACAGAGGGUGCAAGCGUUAAUCGGAAUUACUGGGCGUAAAGCGCGCGUAGGUGGUUAGUUAAGUUGGAUGUGAAAUCCCCGGGCUCAACCUGGGAACUGCAUUCAAAACUGACUGACUAGAGUAUGGUAGAGGGUGGUGGAAUUUCCUGUGUAGCGGUGAAAUGCGUAGAUAUAGGAAGGAACACCAGUGGCGAAGGCGACCACCUGGACUGAUACUGACGCUGAGGCGCGAAAGCGUGGGGAGCAAACAGGAUUAGAUACCCCUGUAGUCCCUGAGCGGGCUGGCAAGGCGCAU
rnacentral:rRNA from 1 species